CUUUAAAGCAAGAUCGUGGUCAGGAGCUUCUGUUUCUGGCAAAAUAACAGACUGGCCAUGCAGAGAACUCCUCUUGGAACAAAACACAUAAAAACACCGGAAGCAAUAUUAAUCUCAAAAGCAUUUUUUAAUGCGUGGUAGAGUUGGUGGGAAAGUAGGGAGCAUCUUUAAGGCCAGAACUAAUAUGAAAGCCAUACCAUAUUUUUGAGGUAAGUGGCAAUUUGCAUACUAAUUGUAGCAGGAAACUGAACACUGAUGCUUUUAGAAAAUUAUUAUUUAAAAUUUUAGGUGUGAAUACAGAUAUCGUGGCUAUAUUUUUCAAGUUCAGGAUGUCAUCUCAAGUGGUCCCAGUGGAUAGAGCCCCACAGAGCCUGGCAAAGUAAAGCAACUCUGGAGCGAUGCACUUCGGCUGGAGCCUUCGAAGACGUCCCACUAAUAAAGUCAUACAAGUCACAGAGCCCGUCAGGAAUGGACCACCAGGAGCAAGAGGCAGCAGGCAAGGUCAAAUGCAGCCCCAGAGUCGUACAAACUGCAGACUCUCCGACUGUCAGUUACGAACUACAAAAAGGUCUUCAAAUGCUUAAGGAAACAAAAGAGGAUAGUCGAAGGAUGGCAAAGAAGCAGGAAACUAUCAUAUUUGCAGGCACAUUGGAGAAAAGGACUAAAGAGCAAUUCCAGAAAUAAAAAACUAUAAUCGAAGUUAGAAACUGAACAGGUAGGUUAAACAGCUGAGAAGACAUGUGACUAUUUGGAGACAGAUCAGAAGAAACGACCCACAGAGAAACACAGAGAGAUGAACAGAUGCAAAGGAAAUUAACUCGUGUGGUCCUGGUGGGAAUGUAAAAGGGUGCAGCCACUUUGGAAAUAUAAUCUGGAAGCUCCUCAAAAGGUCAACAUAGGGCUGCCGUAUGACCCAGCAAGUCCACUCCCAGGCAUCUACUCAAGAGAAAUGAAGGCGUGUGUCCACAUAAACUUGCACAUGAAUGUCCACAGCAGCAUUAUUCAUAACAGCCAAAGAGUGGAAACAACUUGCAUGUCCACCAACAGACGAAUGGAUAAGCAAAAUGUGAUUUAUGGCUGCAAUGGAAUAUGAUUUGGCAAUAAAAGGAAGGAAGCACUGACACAUGGUACAACAUGAGCCCCCCGGUACACAGUUGUAUAUUCUUCGUUGUGGGUCCUUCUAGUUGUGGCAUGUGGGACGCUGUCCCAGCGUGGUUCAAUGAGCAGUGCCAUGUCCGCGCC
rnacentral:lncRNA from 1 species